AAAGCAAAAAUUCUAAAACCCUUACCGCUCAGCGAAUUCUUAAUGGAUUGAAAUGAUUUUUUGUCAGUAUUCUGGCACACAUAUUUAGUUUCUAUAAGUGGACGGAGGAACACGGAAAUAUUCAUGUGGUCGGAGUUAUUCGGGUGGAUCACUGCGUCAGGUCGGGUCAGAAGGUUACUGUGCGUUUGUGCCCCUGGAGGUAGGCACAUUUCAAGGCACAGAUAAUUUACGGAAUCGGUUAUAAUUGUUACCAAAAUUUUUGAAGUAAUGCCGACAAAAUGUAGCAAUCAUUUCCCGCAGUGCGUUUCCUACCAAUAAAUGCUAUAAAUCUUACGAAACAACAGCCGUAGCUCCUCUCUCGCACACUUCGGAUACUACUCCGACAACUCCAAAUCCAUCCUGCUUACGCAAACAGCAGCCCGAAAGCAAUCAAGACAAUGGCACUAUAGCACAGUCAUAGUGGCUGAACAGAAGUUGGUGGUCGGUCGACAAGUCAAAGUCUCAUGCAAGGAAGUGAAUAAAAAGUGCAUGCUAGUUUGCAAAUAUAUUCGUUGUGCAUAUUGGCAAAUCUCCAGAAGUGACGAAUGCGCCACGUGCAAAACAACUCUAGGUGCCAGUUCUACCCCACGGAUUCUACACUGCACGAUACUUUGCAUGAUUGAGCAGACUGACCAGACCAGACCGAAAAUACCGACCGGGACAUUACCAGGCAUCGCAACCACCCGCCACAUGUUCGAUUGCCUCGGAACAAUAGUUCCACUCGCCAUUGAACGAUCAGGAUUUACGGAAGCUCAAUAAUCUGAAGCUGGGAAAAGGCCCUUCACCA